UCUGACCACUUCAGAAAGGGAGCUGCUGCCACAGGCUCGGCCUGAUCAAUCUCUGAAAAGAACAAAGAUCUUUCACCGCUUGAACAUAAGAAGCAGUGUCACUUCAACAAAACUUUCAUCAUACCCUUACCAGAUUAUUGCUGACACUUCCUGGCUGCAUCCCACCCUUCCAGCUCCUCCGGAAAACCAAACUCUUUCUCAAAUACUUAAAAAAAAAAAUUGUUGCUGCACAACUUGGGAACUUGUUGAUUGAAUCACUUUGCCAAUAGGUUGGAACUCCUUCUGGAGUCCAUCUGCAUAUUUGUGUCUCUCUAAUGAUAAAACACAAUUUCACAGAUGGAAGAAUGACAGAAAAUGGCUGUGCUCCAGAGAGACAAGCAGCUUCCUGGCAAGAAAAACAGGGCACCCCUGCCAAUGGUGGGUAGCCAGAACCUUGGCAAUCUCUGUUAUGGGCAACAACUGUGGACAAGCCAGGGACCUGGCCAGAACUGAGAAACCUGUGAAACAACUAAAGAGGGGUUUAUAGUUGCAAACAGAAUCAUUAUUUGUCCCUGGUUAUUUUCUUUAAUGUCUGGGUUUAAAUAUAAUUCAAACAACCUAGACUUUCUGUCUUGAAAGCAUUUUCUAUUUUUACCCUGCAAUAUGCUAAAAAGGAUUUGAAUCAGCAUGCUUAGGUACUUCAAACACAGCAACAAAAUGAACUUGUACUGUAUCUAAUUGGGGAAAUCUGGAAUGGAGGA